UGGUUACUCAAGAAACGAAUUUUAGUUCUAUCUUAAGGGCACUUUAACUUACCUUAACUGUAAGUAAACCCAAUCCCCUAAGACCUAUUCAAUUAGGGUACAGCCUUAUUGAAAAAGGACACAACCUAAAACUCAGGUUAACGUUUCUAUAGACCUAGAGCAAGUUGGCCUAAAAGCAGCCACCUUUAAAAUAGCGUCAAAGCUUUCUCUACUGUCUCCUCUAAUUCCUACCUCAUUACCGAACCCGAUAUCAAUAUUGAGUCUUUCUAUACCUCUAUAGAAGUGAUUAUGUUAGAACUAGUAACACAGAACCAUUUCUCUCUAUGUAAGUGUAAAUCAGAUCGAAUAAAUCACUGAUAUUUACUCAGUAGUGAAACUAUUGUAGCAACUUCACUAGAAAACCCUACAACUUCAUCCUGUUAACCUACCACAAGAACAUCAGAGAAAGAUUAAAAGACAAGGAAGGAAUUCGGCAAAUUUAAGUCUCGCCUGUUUACCAAAAACAUCGCCUUUUGCACACUAUAUCAGGUAAUGCCUGCCCAGUGACCAUGUGUUCAACGGCCGCGGUAUUCUGACCGCGCGAAGGUAGCGUAAUCACUUGUUUUCUAAAUAAAGACCAGUAUGAACGGCCACACGAGGACUUAACUGUCUCCCCUGUCCAAUCAGUGAAACUGAUCUCCUCGUGCAGAAGCGAGGAUGAACCC
rnacentral:rRNA from 1 species